CAUGUAGGCGGAUACGUAGGUCAGAUGUGAAAGCCCUUGGCUCAACCAAGGAAGUGCAUCUGAAACCACAUAUCUUGAGUAUGACAGAGGGAAGUGGAAUUCCCAGUGUAGAGGUGAAAUUCAUAGAUAUUGGGAAGAACACCGGUGGCGAAGGCGGCUUUCUGGGUCAUUACUGACGCUGAGAUGCGAAAGCGUGGGGAGCAAACA
rnacentral:rRNA from 1 species